rnacentral:rRNA from 1 species
UACGAGGGGGGCAAGCGUUGUUCGGAAUUACUGGGCGUAAAGGGCGCGUAGGCGGUCUGGUCAAGUCUUGGGUGAAAUUCCAGAGCUUAACUCUGGACUGUCCCGAGAUACUGGCCGGCUAGAGUGUGGAAGAGGAUGCCGGAAUUCCCGGUGUAGCGGUGAAUGCGUAGAUAUCGGGAGGAACGACCAGCGCCGGAAGGCGGGAGCAUCGUCGGCCAACGU